CGUCAUCGUUAUUCUGAUUUUAUAGUACGAGAAAUCGACUUGAAUAACAAUACUUUAAAAUUUACUGACUUUGAAGAAAAUCAGUCAGAAAAUUUCCGUAGCGAUGAGGAUGUUAAAUUGUUAACCCCUUUAUCGGAGGAUGAAUUGUGGAGCAAAUGUGAAGAAGUCUUGGGUUUAGAGUUUACUGUCAUUCUGAAAAAUUGUUAUCUAAAUGGAAAGAUGGGCAAUUCGGAUUGUGCCCAAUUAAUUAUCCCCGACAAGAAUAAACGUUAUGAAGUACACACUUUUAUACGCAACAAUUUUACUG